GAUGAACGCUGGCGGCGUGCCUAAUACAUGCAAGUCGAGCGAACGCACGAGAAGCUUGCUCCUCUGAUGUUAGCGGCGGGCGGGUGAGUAACGAGUGGAUCACCUACUUCUAUGUCUGGGAUAACUUCGGGAAACAGGUGAUGCUACUGGCUCAUACUUUGUACGGCAUGGUUCAAAGGAGCUUGACGGCUUUCGCGUUUCAUUUAGCCGAUUUCGGGCUGGAUUAGCUAGUUGGUAAGGUAACGGCUUACCAAGGCGACGAUGCAUAGCCGAGCUGAGAGGGUGAUCGGCCACACUGGAACUGAGACACGGUCCAGACUCCUACGGGAGGCAGCAGUGGGGAAUAUAGCACAAUGGGCGAAAGCCUGACGGAGCAACACCGCGUGAGUGAUGAAGGUCUUCGAGUCGUAAAGCUCUUUUAUUAGGAAAGAACAUAUGUAUAUUUAACUGUGGAUGUCUUGACGGUACCUAAACAAAAAGCCACGGCUAACUUCGUG
rnacentral:rRNA from 1 species